rnacentral:SRP_RNA from 1 species
UCGUGCUAGACGGGGAGCUAGCGGUGCCCUGUACCCGCAAUCCGCUAUAGCGGGGUCGAAUUCCCCCUCGAGGGCUGGUGUGCGCUGGGACUGCAGGGUUAAGCGGCGUUGAAGGCUGGGUCCCGCGCAGCAGGGGCCCGCGAACCCCGCCAGGUCCGGAAGGAAGCAACGGUAAGCGGUCACCCCUGGGUGCCGCGGGGGUGCCUGGCCCGAGCUGGCUGGCCCUGUAAGCUGGCGUACGCGGUUCGACAGGGGGUGCACGA